UAGCGUAGGGGGCUAGCGUUGUCCGGAAUCAUUGGGCGUAAAGCGCGCGUAGGCGGUCAGAUAAGUCCGGUGUGAAAGUCAAAGGCUCAACCUUUGAAUGCCGCUGGAAACUGUCUGACUAGAGUCCGGAAGGGGCGAGUGGAACUCCUGGUGUAGCGGUGAAAUGCGCAGAUAUCAGGAAGAACACCAAUGGCGAAGGCAGCUCGCUAGGACGGUACUGACGCUGAGGCGCGAAAGCGUGGGGAGCGAACAGG
rnacentral:rRNA from 1 species